UAGGUAAGGUUUGAUUAGUUUUUAUUUACUAAAAUUUCCAUCACAGUAAGCUGAAGUUAUAAAUAUUCUCUAACUUUUUAUUUCAUGUACAAAUUUAAUUUUAUUUAAAUCUUUUUCAUACUUAUUACAUAAAUCAAUUCAAUGAUUUUUAUAUAAUUUAGCGACACCUUGUAUAGGUAUGUGUCUGGAUCUGAUCAUUUUAACAAAGAUCUGUGGUGAAAUCAACCCCCACUGCAUUAAAAGUCAUUAUUCCUGAAUAAACGACUGGAGUAUAUUUUUUUUCUCCAUAUUUCAUCUAAACCUAAUCUUAUUCUCGCUCGCCACAUUUUUCUAUAUUUAACAGUCCAUCUCUGAUGUUUUUAUAUACUCCUCAUGCCUCGAGCGUGUAAGGAAGUAUCUACACUCCAAUUAAUAAUCUUCUUAGAUAUUUCCUGCCAUAGUAGUCUAAUUUAAACAACAGAAUGCAUAACGCUACAUUAUGUAUACCUCCAUUAAUUUAUGGAAUUUUUACUACUGCCGAUUGCUGUUUGAAAAUUGACCGCCAAACAUAAGGAAAAUGGACAAUUUUAUAACACUAUUCGAGAUGACAAGUGUCUAUUAGGGGGAAAAUAUUACCCUGUAUACAGCGACGGCGGAAAGGAAUUUACGGUUUUCGGUCGGCUUUAGAUUUUCGCGGGAUUUUUGUGCGCGUGAAAAAUAAUAUAUUGUUUGGGCAAAAUAGCAACUGUCUCUCAUUCCCUCGUUCUUUCGCAUGCGUGGCACUAUUUAUUAUUGUCGUAUAUGGGAAUAGAACGGGUACCCACAUUGAACGCACACAGUUUUUUUCCUUCGUAAUCGACUGAAAAUAUUAAUCGGCGCGAAAUCGUACACAUAUACCACGCGCGUGUUACACCCGGAGAAAGGUUUAUUUUAAUAGACUUGCCUUUAUUAUUUAUCAGUACCUAUACCUAUAUUUAUACCUGAACGAACCGUUUCGUCAUUUUUUGAAAUACCAAAGUCCAUACACGAUCAAAAAAUUAAGUAUUAUUGUUGGUUAGAAAGUGUACGCGAAAAGUGAUAAUUAAUAUGAUAUUUAUUAUAAGCAUUGUUGAAAAAUCGCCAUAAUUUAUAACAUAACUAGGGCUGUGUAUUGAAGGCCAUAAAAACCUUUUAAAAAGCAUUUAAUUCCUAUAAAAGGAAUUGAAACUUACAAAAGACACCCUUGAGCAACAUUACAUUAAAGUUUCGAGGAUGAGCAUACGCAAAAAUAAGGGAAGGGGGUUUUAAAAACUAGGCCCUUCAAAAAUUUCGAUUUCCUCACCAAAGCCUUCCCAAGUUUUUUCUACUUAUUGAAUUUUUUAAUAGUUUAUGAUACAGGGUAACUCAUUUUUUUGUAAUAAAAAUAAAUUAUAACCAAUAAAUUUACUGUUAGUGAAAAGUGAAUGGCGAAAAUUGAAAUAAAUAGUCACGGUUUUACUACAAUCAAAUAAUAUGCAGGUGGAAUAUCUUACUGUGUAUUCGUUUACGUAUUUUUAAGGACAGCGUAAUAAAUUAAUGAUUGAAUACAUUUUAUUUAUCAUGGUAUUUAUAAAUUAUAAUAUUAUUGUAAUAUUUUACGUUGUAAUUUGUAGCUUAGAAUAUAUUAUAGUUUGCCUGUCUCAAUAAUGGGUUUCCACCGCAGUCUCGCUGAAUAUUGAGUGAGCCGUAGAUUUAUUGAAAAUUAAAGUCACCAUCGUUAAAUAAAAACAAAUAUCCGUGGAAUCCAAAUUAAUUGGCAUCCAAUUGCGUUCAUUUCAUUUUUUGAGAGGGGGGCAAAAGUUUUAACCGGUUCACAAUAAAACUGAAUAAAAAAUCGCUCGCUAACUUAUUGAUCACAAUUAUAUUUUUAUCACAAAGAAAUACCCUUCUUACAUAAUUUUAUACUUACCAUCAUAGUAUAAAUAACCUAUUUUUUUGAGGGACAACAAUCACUAAAUAAUAAAUAUAUAUGUAGAUGGAUAUCUAAAUAUAUUACCUAUUAGCUACUAUAUGAAGGCUUAGUUUGAGGAUAAUUUUACCCCAAUUUAUGUCCUAUUUUUACCAAUAUAUGCAUGGAGUAUAAAUGUAUCACAAAAUCAUAAAACAUAAUUACGUGAAUCGCGUUUGCGAGCUUACGACCCAAAACUAGCCCAACAAUAGCCCACACCCGGUGACCAGAAUGGGGGAUACCUCCUCUGCCCUCUUCUCGAAUUCAUUAGGUGUUUAUCUCUUCCGCAAUGGCUUCAUUGAGUAGCUUCGCUUCGCCCCCCCCCCAAAUCUCAAACCCUAUUCGUGCCUAUGAGGCUGAGCUUUUCGGGAGUUUCGACUUUCGAUCCCCUUCUAUAUUAUUACUGUGUUCAAAUGUCACCGUUUGUUUGUUUACGCUAUUUACUAAGCGAAAAUGUGUAGUUUUUCCGAGGGGAUCUUAGUAGGUGUUAUUAUAUUUUAAGAUACCUAUUAGACCGUCUUAGUGAAAUACUUAUAAUAUCAGGUACAAAUAAAUUCCUCGCUCUGCACUCAGAAUCCAAAAUAACGUAUACACUUAAAAUAUUCACAAACAAUAAUUUCGUUAAUCUCGUAUUUGGUGUGCGGUUAUAUUAUAGUUUUCCGGACAAUGUAUUCGCGGGAUUUUCCCCGUCCGCGUCUGCGCGCUACACUGCGCGGUUAAUAUUAUACUCUGGUAUAUACAACGAAUGAUGCAACGCGUCAUGUAAUAAAUUGCGAAUAAAACCGCGUAUAUGCACAUAGAUAUUAUGUAUAUAUAUAUAUAUAUGUAUAUAAACUUUCCGGAAUGAUAUGGAGGAUGUGUGGCUCCGCCGUGCGGUGUUAAUUUAUGAUUGUACGCGUCGAAACUUUUCGCGGGCGCACCGAGUACACUCGCUUGUGUGUGUGUGUAUUGUGUAUACAAACGAUAUAUAGUUAAUAAGUCAUUUCGAAAUUAAAAAUUCCGCCGUAAAGAGGCGUCUAUGAGCAUUUUUUUUUUUUUUUCAACGUUUUUAUUUGCGGUUUAUCCCAAUCGGAACUGUGACGGAAUAUUAAUAUCAUUACCAAAAAUAAUUCAUUUCCUUCACCAAUGUCCGAUUAUGCGUUUGAUUUCAUUAUUUGAUAAUAACGAAACGUCUUAGAUCUAUGCCGUCGCAUCGCGUUUAAAAAUCUCUUUUAAUAGAAUUGGUAAAAAACACAAAUCGGUAAGUUUUAGAUUUUGAGAGGAACGAGGAAUGUAUUGGUUUUACAAUGAUGUUUGUUUAUUUAUUUUUUUUUUUCUUCACGUAAACAGUUUUUCUACCAAAAAGCUUACUCCGAUUAUCAAGUAUAGCACCUUUUCUGAAAGGAAAUUCUCUCUGGGUGGUACUAUAAGGAGGUCGUUAUAUAAAAUUCUCAUUAAUAUUUGAGAUAAUGAGGAAAAUCUCGGUCUUUAGGUUAAUAAAGAUUGAAAGAUUAAAAAAAAGGUUGUCAUUGGCAACCGUUUUUGUUUGUUUUUUGUUAUUAUUAAGUUCUUAUUAUUUUAAUAUUUUCCAAACAAUUAUUGUUGUCAUGGAAAUGCACAUUGUUUUAAUCAUUUUACCACAAUAUGACAUAAUACCAUAUAUUGUAUUGUUGAUAAAGCAACAUUAUUUCGGCUCAGAAUAGUCUUUUCGUUAGCAAUGGUUUAUCGUUGCUUACACAUAUAUAUUUUUAAAUUUCCGUCUGCAGCCUACUUUCCCAACUUUCCAUCUACAACAGUGGCUGCACCCACGUGCGAAGUAUGUCAGUCCUUUUUUUUUUUCUAUGUAUUCCUCAUUUGAUUUGAUCUCCAGUCGAGUAUUGUUUUUCGCCAUUGUUGUUCUAUAUUAGCUGAUGACAACUUUUAUAAUACUAUUAUACAGAUUUUAUUUUGUUCAUUUUCCAAUAACUUAUAAUUUAUUACAAUCCAUUUUUAUGUAGCGUUAAUUUUGUUAAUUAAUUUUCGUUUACAUUGUGUAGAUAUUUUGAUAUUUAUUCGUCUGUUUAAAUUAUGGAAUUUCGCGUCGUAUUUUACCUACACUAACAUCGACAAAAUUGUAUACAUUUAUAUAUCCUUAAAAUAUUAAAUAUCAAUUAUGUACCACAUUUCUGAACACCUCCAUAAAGUUCCUUAAAGUUUACUGUGGUAUGGGUGUGAUGACCACAAGCUACGCCUGCCCGCUCUGCUGGCCAGUUCGAUUAACGCUACGUGCCACUUUUCGCUUUUAGAAUUACAAUCUGCGGUUUCAGACUUAAUUCUGGUGUAAAGAAGUUAGUACCCCAAGAUGUGGAAUUAAACGUCACUGAACGAGAUCGGUUACGUCCAUUCAUUUGUAAAAUGCCGGAAUUUUUAUCGAGAAUUUACCUUGAAUUUUUAAUAACAAUAUUUUUUAAAAUUCGAAGUUUUUCGUCGAAAAGAAGUUGCAAUUUCUUUAUCAAUAUAAAAUUUCAUAGACGAAACCUUAAAUACGGAUC